rnacentral:rRNA from 1 species
CCCUUAGAUGUUCUGGGCCGCACGCGUGCUACACUGAGUGGAUCAGCGGGUCAGGUUGCGCGAAAGCGUUUCCUAAUCUUGAAAUCCGCUCGUGAUGGGGAUUGACGGUUGCAAUUUUCUGUCAUGAACGAGGAAUACCUUGUAAGCGCGGGUCAUCAUCCCGCGCUGAAUACGUCCCUGCCCUUUGUACACACCGCCCGUCGCUCCUACCGAUUAAGUGGUCCGGUGAGGCUUUGGGAUCUGAGCGGAAAGAGCGUUUCGCUCGUUCUGCCCGGAAAACUCAGUCGAACCUUAUCAUUUAGAGGAAGGAGAAGUCGUAACA